GGCUACCAGGUAAGUGUAGAGGUAAACCGGUGUAGAAGACCCGGGUUCGAUGCCGAAGGGUUCAAUCAACAAGGACUUUUAUGCAAAAAUCUUGCUCUUUAAGUAGCCUUUGUUCUGGUUCGCUAGCUCACUAAAACAACUUAGACCAGUCGGUUAGGGCCUCGGUUUCCCAAAGCAUACGUUUCGGGUUCGAUUCUUGCCAAUGCUACUUGUAAGGCAAAAAAUGUUCGAAUAAGUUCCUCUUGCCUGCUCCGAUACCAUGUGGUUAUUAUUGUUAUGACGGUUGAUACAUGGUUAAAUGUAUGAGUUUAUCGUGACAAUUUGUGGCAGCGUCGUGGCCCUGCGCGCUGACGUGGUCUUGUUCACUCCCACAUCUAUUUGAUGAUCUCGCGAAAUCUCUCUCCUCGUGUCCCUGCAUUCGAAGUUUUCUCCCGGUCGAGAACUUUGUCUGGCCUCUCGAAAAUGAGCAACGGGGUUCCACGAUUCCGGAGAGUGAGGUAUGCUUGUCUUUUAUUGUGAUGCCUUUUUUUUGUUUGUUUCUUUUUCCUCCAGAGAUGAGAUGGUCCAGAAGAAAUGCAUAGAAAUAUUUUCUUCUAUCAGCUAGCUGGUGCUAGCUUGGAGGACCUAAGAAAACGGCUGCAAUGCAGAAUUCUCCAGCAUGCACUAGUUCAAAAUCAGCCGGCACCAUGAGGGAACACAGCUCAGGUCUCUAAGCCAAGAGACCUGGGCAAAUCUCUUAUUAUAAGACCUUGCAUCAUGAGAUGCAAUUGAUUUAUAACUACUGUUCGAGGAUUAGGAUUAUUAUGGAGCUGGAGAGGGGCACAACUCAUCGUCGCAGGUGAGUUUGAGAUUCUGGAACAGGUUGAGCUCGCAGCCGCAGGUCUCAGCGAUGUCGAUCAGGAGCUGGCAGCACUUGUCGCCUUGAAUUGGAACACGGCAAGCUUCAGGAAGCAUGACGUUGAGGCAAUCGAUUACUGGAGCAGCAGAAGAAGCCUGUUUGAUUGAAGAUGCAAGAACAAUGGAAACAAGGAUGAGGAGAGCGCACUUGGAAUUCUUCAUAGUGCUUGGAACAAGCGCAGAGACGAUAUGCACACUAGCCAGUUUAUAUAGUGGGAGAAGAAUGGCUUCACCAGCGUGCCAACUAGGCAUGCGCAUUAGUCAACAGCGCUUUUAGGUGUUCCUACCGCAGAAUCCCGAUAUAAUCUAUAAGGUGAUUGUGAUUGUUUGUUGGAGCUUCCAUAGCUGCUUGCUCCAUUUGCUCUAGCUAGAGUGCUGUUCUUUUCCUCUAAGAAUAUCCUAGCCUAACAUUUUCCUGAUACUCCUCUGGAGAUCCUCCUUUUGCUCCUCCUGCUCGCUAGUGGCCAGAAACCAAGGAGCUAAAAUCUGGUUAAAACAACUGGAUAGAUUGACUGAGCAUCCCUAGAAUAUGCCUUAAGGGAAUCUUUAGGGAAUGUUUUAAUAUUUCCGCAUUCUCUAAUUAGCUCCAUACUUAGCCAAAAAAAUCUUAGACAUAUAAGUGCAUUCAAAUAUAACCAUAGAAGGUGUAUGAAAAUAUAAAAACCCAAUUUCAGUAAUUCUUGAUAGAGGAUCAAUAUAAUUGAGCUUGCAACCUGCAAAGUCUGGGGCUUGGAUUAAUCCAUCUAGCUUGCUUUCCCUUAGGAAUUGAAAAAAACAUUGUGAUUAAUAGAGAAACCCACCAAUUUAAAAUCCACCUUGUGGUGCUAAAAAGAAUCUUUCUAUGAGUACUUCAUAGCAUACUAUGACUAGGGAUAAUCAGACAAUCUAACAAAUUCCCAAAGCCAAAAGUUUACUGAUGGUUCAAGUACAUAGUAUGAUAUGCUGAGAUCAUGGGUAUCAAGAGGUAAACUACUUGAGUUUAAUGCCAAAGAGUCCAAACUUUUAUGCAAAAAUUUUGCUCAAUAAGUUAUUAUUCAUCUAACUAAAAUAGAUUAAACCAGUUAAGUAGGACCUCAGUUUCCCAAAGCAUACGUUUCGGGUUCGAUUCUGGUAUAGAUAAAAGGAAAAAGAAUUUACAUUUGAGACCUUGAUGAAAGCUUGUGGAUCUUGCAUUCCUGAAACAAUAUCGUGUAUCAAGUAUUCGUGCUUCUUUCCCUUUCAGGAGUCAUGGCGUUGCCGACGACGGUGCUCAAUCCGUUACUACUCCCUUCUUUCUCAGCUGCUUUGCUAGAAGCUCUCAAGAGAACCGGCGAGGAGCGUGUCGCUGCGUUUCACUUCCCAGGCCACGGCCGCGGCUCCUCAGCGCCCUCUUCGAUUUCCAAGCUUCUCGGAGCUCAACUCUUCCAGUUUGAUCUCCCGGAGCUGCCAGGCCUGGAUAACUUGCACUCGCCACAAGAAGCCAUAGCCGAAGCGCAGCAAAUGGCCGCCGUGCUUUUCGGAGCUGCAUGACAUGGAUCCCUGGAGUCUGAUAUUAGCGUCGCCUGGAGUGGAAUUGAGCACUCUGAUCUCUUCCUUUUCAUGCUGCCAAGGGUACUUAUGGUUCUUGCUCUACGUGUGGAAUUCAACCGGGGAUCAUGAGCUGCUGCAAGACCGAAGACGUUCUGAUCCUCCCCGGGAACGCCCACGUCUCGGCAUUCUCAGCCAUGGUUCUUGCUGGAGCAAUGCCUCACUAUGGUCUUCCUUGUUAUGACGAGCUCUGGGAUAUUUCUCAUGGUGUCUCCGCAGAGAGCAUCGAGUUGGCCAUUUUGGAUCUGCAGAAAAGAAAAGAAGUGGGAAUUGGAGCUGUUCUGAUUGUCUCGCCAACUUACUAUGGAGUGUGUAGCCCUGGAGGAGAUCGCAUAGGUGUAUCACGAGCAUGGUAUCCCGAUCAUAGUUGACGAGGCUCAUGGAGCGCACUUAAUGUUCCACUCGAGGUUUCCUGCAACGGCACUCGAGCAGGGAGCCGACGUUGUUGUCCAAUCCAAGGUACUCUCGUCUCUUAUGCAGUCCGGGAUGCUCCAUCUUGCAAGAGGCUGCAAGAUUGUAAGGCACGAGAGAAUUAGCAAGUGCCUUCAAACCUUGCAAAGCUCCAGUCCGAGUUACCUUCUCUUGGCCUCUCUCGAUGCCGCAAGAUGAAUUGUGCAGCAAGCGACGACCAUCCGUUGUUUGAUACAGCUCUGGAGCUGGCUUCCACAUCUCGGCGACGCCUGAAACAAAUUCCACAAGUUUUAGUCCUUGAUAGAGAAAAUGUGAGCUUGGCAGCCAAACCUGAUACCAUUUUUUAUGAGCUUAGGAUCACCAUUGGGUUGUGGGAGCUCGGAGUCACAGGAACUCUUGCCGAUGACUUUCUGUGCGAUAAAUGCGAGAUAGUGGCCGAGCUUCCUCUUCUGAACUCCAUAACUUUUGCUAUAGGAGCCAGCACUAGCAGCAGCGAGAUUGAGAAACUUAUCAAAGGCUUCAAGAGCUUUCGAGUUCUUCCAGAUUGACAAUAGGUCCUUAUUCCAGACCCUGAGUGCCUGAUUGUAAUAAAAUCAAAUGGAAAGCACUAGUUAGUCCAAGAGAUGCUUUGUUACAGAAACUUACUGCUGCAAAGCUGACGAAGCAGUGGGUCUAGCGAGUGCUGAGCUCGUGUGCCCGUAUCCACCUGGUAUUUCUGUGCUCUUUCCUCGUGAAGUGACAUCACAAAGAUCCAGCUGCAAAGAAAAAAACAAGAGUUUAGAUAAAUGCAAAGUCAUAGAAACUUCAUUACGUACCGAUCACUUCAAGGUUUUCAUUGUUUGAGCCUGAGUAUAUGUUUGCCAUGAGAGCAUAAGCUGUACCACCUUGAUCGUCAACCUUUGAUAGCGCAUCAAAGGCUACCUCUCCAAUCACCGCAUUUUUCCACUUGAAACAAGCCCCAAGCAAUGCCAUCCAUAUCCUGGAGCACACGUCUUCCACAGGCAGGUUUUGCACCAUCGCAAGCGCAUCCUCCAGCCGAUUAGCACGUCCAAGUAGAUCAACCAUGGAGAUUACGUGCUCCACACUCGGACUAAGUCCAUAGUCCGAGCACAUCGCGUGAAAGUAUUCCAUCCCCUUGUCGACCAAACCAGAGUGGCAGCAGACCGAUAGAACUGAAGAGAAUGUCACAGCGUCCGGCUUGGCAAACUCUUGCAUUCUCUCGAACAGAUCAAACACCGCGUCACUGUCCCCUUGACGGCUGUAUCCCGCGAUCAGUGCACUCCAAGACACUGCGUCCUUGUCUGGAAACCCAUCAAACACUCGCCGAGAUUCCACCAUGUCACCACACUUGCCGUAGAAACUUACGAGCGAGUUUGCCACCGCCGGAGAGCUCUCGGCCCCAGCUUCUUCGAUCAGACGAUGGAUUGCCUGUCCAGCCUGUAGUGCUCCAAGACCACCACAGGCCUUAAGUACCGAUGCAAAAGUCUGCGAGUCCGGUUUCAGUCCUUGGAGUCCCAUUUUCGAAAACUCCUGCAGGGCCAGCUCAUGGUUUCCACUCUCGGUGUAGGCUUCGAUCAUGAUGUUCCACGAAACCAAGUCUUUGAUCACCAUUUUGUCAAAAACUCGAGCCGCAUCAUCCAAACUUCCACACCAAGCGUAGAGACUCAUCAAGUUGUUUGCAGCGUAAACAUCUUCCAGCCCGUCGAGAAACCGGGAAUGAAAAGCCAAUGCCUUCUCCAGCGACGCCACUUUCAAGGGCCUUCCAUCCACAAGCCGAGUCUCUUCCUUCUCGGCCAUAUCCAAGCAUGCCUGGAGAACGGCCACCAAAGUUCUGGAGCUGACGACCACGUCUAACGCUUGCAUGGCCGUGAAUAACUCAAGAGCUCGCUCGGCCUCGCCACCUUUUGCAUAUCCCAUGAUCAAAACAUUCCAGGAGACCGAAUCCCGCUCUAUCAUCCCGUCGAAAACUCGCCGGCAAUCCAGCAAUCUCCCCCACUUUGCAUACAUAUCCAUCAGACUGUUGGAGACGAAAACGCUGGACGAAAUCCCUGUCCCUGUUCUUGCAAACUUCGAGUAAAUCUCUCCGCCCCUGUCCAGCCAUCCCAGAUUCGUGCAAGCGUCGAGCACGGCCACCAGAGUCCGAGCAUUCGCCUCCACUCCAUCUUCCAAAAGCAUAAGCUCAAAGAGCUCCAAGGCUAGCUCGUCUUCCCCUCCUUGCGAGCAAGCGCUGAUCAUGGCACUCCACAAAACCACGUCCUUUGUUCCCAACUUGGCAGCCUGGAAAAUCUCUAGAGCUUCUCUCACGGUGCCACACUUUCCAUAGAAAUCCACCAGGGCGCUGGCCACGAACCUGUCCACCAAGAAUCCACCACUCUGGAGCUGGGAAUGAAGAGCCAAGCCUCUCUUGAGGCUCCUGAGCUUGAUGAUCUUCCCCUGUAAAUCUCUCACCCCCUUUUCUCUAGCGGCCAGCGAAGAACACGCCUGGAGAGCCGCGACGAAGCUCCGGCCGUUUGGAUCCAACCCCUCGGCAUGGAGCCGCCCAAAGAACUGGAGCGCGAGCUCCGGCUGGCCGCACCGCGCGUAGCCGCCGAUGACGCAGUUCCACGACGCCGCGGUGCGCCGAUCCAUGGAAUCGAAAAUGCGGCGUGCCUCAUCCAUCCUGCCCCGUUUCGCAAAUCCAUCAAUGAUUGCGUUGAUCAAGCCGAUGUUCUUACCGGAGAGGAGAUCGCGCUCGCGGCCGUCGCCGUCCAGCUGGAUUGGAGCCAUUUCUCGUAGCGCGACAUUGAUUUGCCCAAUCAUCUGAUUUUAGGGUUCUUGAGGUUUAGAGACGAAGAACAAAUCCUGACCGUUAAAAAUAAUCGUAGUAAAAUCUGGGCAGAUGUGGUGGCGCUCUGGCGGCUAUCUGGCGGUGGAGGAGCGGCGCUGUGGAAAAUUUUCAUUCAGAGAACUUAUAUAACUCAUGACCAUUUUUGGGUUCGUUUUCUUUCUUUUACAGGAAAAUAAAAAUAGUAAGAACAAUAGGAGGAUAAUGAAAAAAACUGUGCUUGCUCUAUGCAAACUCACUGGAUGCCGAGAGAGCGUUCUUGUGAGAUUUGAUCAGGCCUCCCAAAACCUGGCCGUGUUUUCGAUACGGUCCUGGAUCUGCCAAUCUACGAUCCUUGCCUGGGUACAUUUACAGACGAGCAGAGCGACGGGAAUGAGCUACCAGUUGUUCUCCUCACUUCUUCAUUCGCGAGAAAAUCUCGAACAAAACUCUCCUGUCGAUUUUCCUUCCUUGGCCGAGUGGUUUAAUCCACCACCGAGCGAACUCCCCACACCCAGAGCGCCACUAUCGUCCUUGGAUCCCUCCACGCGGUGGUCGUCAAGUAUUUUGGGAAGAGGAGCGCCGCCCCGAUCCAUCUAGAUCCCGUCCUCUUACCUCUAAAAUCGGGGAAGCGCUUCUGCCAAGGACGCGAGAAUGCGGGUCGACCCGGGAUUUAACAGAGUGCCAUGGAUGCCAUAUGGUUCAAAUAGAUGGUAUGAUAUAUUGUUAUUGGAACCCGGUUGCUGAGAUAAUGGCUACCAGGUAAGUGUAGAGGUAAACCGGUAUAGAAGACCCGGGUUCGAUGCCGAAGGGUCCAAUCAACAGGGACUUUUAUGCAAAAAUCUUGCUCUUUAAGUAGCCCUUGUUCUGGUUCGCUAGCUCACUAAAAGAACUUAGACCAGUCAUUUAGGACAUCGGUUUCCCAGAGCAUGCGUUUCGGGUUCGAUUCUUGCCAAUGUUAUCUGCAAGGCAAAGAAUAUUCGCAUGUUAACAUCAAACCAAAAAUGUUUAUAAUUCUUAAACUCA
rnacentral:lncRNA from 1 species